rnacentral:rRNA from 1 species
CCUACGGGGGGCAGCAGUGAGGAAUAUUGGACAAUGGGCGCGAGCCUGAACCAGCCAAGUAGCGUGAAGGAUGAAUGCCCUACGGGUUGUAAACUCCUUUUAUAAAGGAAUAAAGUGAGGCACGUGUGCCAUUUUGUAUGUACUUUAUGAAUAAGGAUCGGCUAACUACGUGUAAGCAGCCGCGGUAAUACGGAGGCGCCGAGCGUUAUCCGGAUUUAUUGGGUUUAAAGGGAGCGUAGAUGGGUUGUUAAGUCAGUUGUGAAAGUUUGCGGCUCAACCGUAAAAUUGCAAUUGAUACUGGCAGCCUUGAGUGCAGUUGAGGUAGGCGGAAUUCGUGGUGUAGCGGUGAAAUGCUUAGAUAUCACGAAGAACUCCGAUUGCGAAGGCAGCUUACUAGACUGCCACUGACAUUGAUGCUCGAAAGUGUGGGUAUCAAACAGGAUUAGAUACCCCAGUAGUC